AAACGUUCCAAUCGUACCAGUAAGGAAGCAGAGCAAAUGAAUUAUAUCGUUCCAGAACGAAGCAGAUCGAUCGUCUGAAAACAGCCGCUGUGUUUGCAAACAUUCACCACCCACUUUUACACACCAGUGUGAAUGUCAUGAUAGUAUAUGUAAAGUGUAUGUAAUGCAGUUGAUUAAUCAUAUCCUCAAUCGAGGACUGUCAUUUUCUUUUCAAUCGUCUGAAAACUGGAGAAAAGUUUGUGUUUUGUGAAAUAAAUCGGUUUUAUGUUGAAUUUAUUGGUUGUUUAUUGUCAAUGAGCGUUUACUCGGUAUAUUAGUUCUGUGUCCAGUGUAAAUGUUACCAAAAACUGCUAAAAUGCCUGCGAUCCGUGACAGUCAUGUCGUGAAAAUUGCGGUCGAGUUUGAAACUGGAAUUCCACAGCUUAUCGAGUUUGACCAAAGACAACCACUGGCUACGAUCAUACAGAAUUUGUGUUCGUUUUGGGUGAUUCAAGAUCCGGAAAGUUAUGCGCUACGGUUCACUGAUGUAAACAAUAACUAUGUAACAGAGAAAAACAGACACGAUGUGAAAAAUGGUUCUGUACUGAAAAUGGUCCACUCUCCAUCCAAGACGGCCAAUGAUAUUUUGGAAAAGUUGCAAGGUGGAAAAAGUGAUGAAAUGGUGAAGGUUCUACAAGAACUACCAGGACUAAGUGCUGAUAUUACCUUUGCUCUUGAAUUUAUUAAAGAACAAGGGCUAGGUUUAAUCAUCGGUAUAAUUGAAGAUCUUGCAUGGAAGGAGGGAGGAAAUAUUUUAAAAUUUGCAUUGUCUGCUUUUGUCGAAUUAAUGGACCACGGCACUGUAUCCUGGGAUAUUCUCCAACCAGCGUUUAUUUCGAGAAAUAUCUCCUUCAUAAAUGGAAAUAGUAGUAAAGAAAUUGUGCAAUCGGCGUUGGCGAUUCUGGAGAAUAUCGUGCAAAAUAGUGGUAAAUUUUCACUGGUAGAGAAAGAUGUUACAUUAGAGGUACUAUUGAAGUUGCUGCAGGAUUCCCCUUCGACCGUUAUUCAACAGAACACUAUCGCUCUCAUAAAUGCACUUUUCCUGAAGGCAGAUGAUGAGAAACGCAAAACUAUCGCUUCUACGUUUAGUUCGAAACAAUAUCGAAGUAUCAUCAAUAGUGUGAUUACAGCAAACAUGGGAGCGGAGAUUUCUCAUCAGCUUUAUGUACUGCAAACCCUGACCCUUGGAUUGUUAGAUCAGCGCAUGAAAACCCCAAUUGAUGUUCAAGACCAGGAAGGCCAGGAUAAAAUCAAAGAGUUGCGCCGAAUUGCUUUCGAAGCUGAUGGUAUCGAACCAAUCCCUGAAGUGACAGCCCGUCGUCAACACGGAGGAUCAUUUUCUGUGCAUUACAAAAAGCUGGGAUUUAAGUGUGACAUUAAUCCGGCUCAGGAUUUCUUGGAAACACCUCCAGGAGUACUAGCGCUAGAUUGUAUGGUUUAUUUUGCCAGAAAUUAUACUCAGAAUUACACUAAAGUAGUUCACGAAAAUAGUUGUCGUGCAGAUGAACACGAAUGCCCUUUCGGUCGAACCAGCAUCGAGCUGGUUAAAGUUUUGUGUGACAUUCUACGCAUUGGUGAGUCGCCAUCGGAACACGGGCAGGAGUUUCAUCCAAUGUUCUUCACCCAUGACCAUCCUUUCGAGGAAUUCUUCUGCAUCUGCAUUGUGGUACUAAAUAAAACAUGGAAGGACAUGCGUGCCACAACAGAGGACUUCGUAAAGGUCUUUAGUGUUGUACGGGAACAGAUCACUCGUAGUAUCACCGGUCGUCCCGCUUCCCUUGAAGACUUCAAGGCCAAAAUACACACAUUUACCUACAACACUAUCACUACUCUCCGCCAACAAGAGCGAACUUCCCGAGAAGAAUGCGAAUCGACUGCCUCGGCCAUUGUUUCUCUCAAAGAAAAAAUAACUCCCGAAAUUAUGUCUCUCAUUAAAGAACAACGUCUGGGUUAUCUGGUAGUCGGAACGCGCUUCUCCAAAUACAGUGGCGGCAAGCGGGAAAGAGAUAAGUACUGGUAUGCCCGCCUUUCGCCGAACCACAAAGUGAUUCAUUACGGUGACUGUGACGAAAAGACAGUUCCCACAUUGGAAGAAUUGAACAACAAAUUACCCGUCAUCGACAUUCGCCAGAUGUUGGUUGGUAAGGAGUGUCCUCAUAUGAAGGAAAUGCGUGCCAAAAAAUCGACCUUCCCCCUCGGAUUUUCCCUGGUAACGGAAUCGAGCGACCAGCAAACGUUGGAUUUUGUCGCUCCGGAUGAGGCCACCUUCAACUACUGGACCGACGGCAUCAACGCUCUGCUUAGCCAACCGAUGGUCAGCAAGCAGAAGGACGACGACUUCGAAACGCUGCUUUCAAUGGAGAUCAAGCUGCGCCUGUUGGACACCGAAGGGGUCGACAUUUCCAAAGAUCCACCGCCGAUCCCGCCGGAACCGGAGAACUACGAUUUCUGCUUCGACAGUUAAGGUAAUCUCGGUUGGAUGAUAUUCUGCAUUUGUGUUUUGGUUCUCUCUCAUGUAUGACUGUAGCAUUAGAUACCACUCGAUGACUACACUUUAUCGAUUGACACCAAAGUAUUUUGAAUGAAUUUUGUGUAAAAUAUGUUGAGUAUUGUUUCCAAAUUCUUUUUCAUUCCACUUCCAUUUUUUCGAAUUGCAAAAGUGGUCACUGUCUGAGGUUGAAUAAAGUUCAGUGGCAAAUAGUACUAAGCAUUCACAGUGCGAAUUGUUUGUUCUUAGUUAUUUGACGGUUGAUUGAACUGUAGUUAAAAUUUCAUUUCAAUCUCAAAGCACAAACACGAGUACCAUUUUUCAGUGGUAUCCAGAUGAUUGCCCGCUGUCUAAAAAAUCACUUUUAUCAAAUUUUCAUUUAUGUUAGUCAGCCUAUUGUUAUAUCCCACGAAAUGUUAAAUGUCUCCGAUUUAGGAUUAGGCAAAAACGUGAUGAAUGUUGAUAAAUAUUCGACAAGUUUAACAACGAUUGAUUUUUUUUAUUCAGAAAAGAACAAUUUUGUAAUCAAAUAGUUUCAUGCAGUUACAAAUUAUAACUGUUUUAAAUAGAGUCAUUCUCAAAAUUGGCCCAAUGCUCAUUCGAGCUUCGUAAUUGUUUCCUAUAUACUCAUAUACCAUAAUACUAUGUUCACACUAUGAGUUAAAACAAGUUUUAAUUCUGAUUUCAUGAUUUAAGCGAAAUAACAUGUUUUACUUUUGCGUUAUUUCAUAUUCAGAAACGUCACAUUAAAACAUGUUUUCCCGAAAUAACAUGAUAUAAUUGUCAGUAAAGCACAACCCUGCUAGCAUUUUCCGUCACUUUACGACUAUGUCAAUUGACAAGCUGUUCAACAACAGCAGUUUUCCAUCAAAGUAGCCAUGUAAUCAUAAUAAAACAAAACUGGAAACUGGUACCAACGUUGCCAGGUAUACCAAUUUCUAGGUAUUUAUACAGAUUGCUUGGUAUUUAUACAGAUUUUUGUCGUCUAUACCGCAAUACAGAUAUGUACUCCCGAAAUACCGAUAACUCACGAAUCAUACAGAUAAGUACCGAUUUUGGUUUUUAGCUUGAAUAGACAUGAGAAAAGGUUGUCGUGGGACCUUUUUUUUGCGCACCUCUUGGUGACAUUUUCUACUACUUAUGUAGAAGAGACUCUGAUACCGAUAUGGUACAGAUAGAUUUUUGCGCCGAAUACAGAUUUUUGGAAAAACGGCCUGGCAACGCAGACCACAACCACUUUUGUUUUUGAAUUAAAAGAUGACUUUUUUGAUCACUUGCUGCUCAAAAAUAUUCGAAACGCUGGCAAUAAGCGUGAAACGAUAAUAUCCUUCAUAGCUAGGAGAAGUACCUAGCUUAUUUCUUAUUUUUCGGAUAUUGUCAAAAUACUUUUUUCUUUCCUACCUGCGAGGUAGGCAUUUUUGCAGUUUGUUUAUAAACAAACUCAAUACCAAGUAAUAUGUCAUGCGUAUAACAUAAUCUUAGUGUGAACAGUGCGGUUUUAACUUUAUAUUACUAUCGUUAAAACAUGUUAUUUUCUGCAGGUGUGAACAUAGUAUAAAACGCCGAAACAUCGAAGAGUAGAAAAGAACUGCUCGGAUUACCCAAAACAUUGAGCUAUGUUUUAGUAAAGUACGAAAAACAACAUCCGACAACACGCAGGCAAACUAGCCGUCGCCUUAGUUAUUUCGAAAAUUUAUUUCAGUUUUAUUCUAUUAGAUCUUCUCUGCAGUUCACCCUAUUUCUCGGUUGAUUUUUCAUUAGGGUGUAUAAGCAAGUGACAGUUUCUCUUUGUUUACUUUCUCUUCUAUUAAUUACCAAGCGGUUUCCACGUUUAUCACUCAACUCUUUGCAUGAAAUGGUACCCGCAACCUUCGACUUUCAAACAGAGUAGUGAAAUCAAAGAGAAUCAUUUUAAUCACAUCACGAUAAUCGAAAGAGAAAGUGAUUAAAGAGGAACUGUCACUUGCUUAUACGCCCUAAUGAAAAAUCAACCGAGAUUUAGCAUCAGCAUAGCCAAACACAUGUCCAAAGUGCGCUAGCGUUCGUGUUUUUAAUUAAUAGUUUCAUCGCUUUUUGCACUCAAUAUAUUGUGCACAAUUGAUUUUCGCAUUGAUUCAUUGUGAAUUUCAAGCCCGAAAACAGCCGCGUACAGGUGAGAUAUUUUAUCUCUUAAUAUCAUCGCUGCUGGGCGAGUGAUGGAUCCGAGGUAACACCCCUGAUUUUGCCGCCAACAGAUUCUCUCUUAGAGAAAAACGUUCAACGGUGGUAACACCUAUUUUUCACACUAUUUUUUCAAGAGAAAAAACAACAACAAACCAACAGAAAAGAUGAAUUUUUGGAAAAAGAUACGCUCAGAGACAGGACUCGAACCUGCGUUCUUAUGCAUUCCGUGCAUACGCGCUACCAUUUCGCCACUCUGAUCUUGUUUUAGCCACUCUAAAACGCGAAACAGACAUAGUAGCAACGAACAUCGAACAUGGUCUACAUCCUGGUCGUCACCCGACCGAUACCUUACAUCCAAACAUCUUCUCUGUCCAUCAAACACUAGUCCUCUCGCUUUAUACCUAUUUCUCCGAUCAAGCAUUGAGUAGGAGAGUGUAUUUAUAAUCGCUUGUCACCUUCUUUAAUGGUGCCAGUCGCUGACUGGACAUCGUCAGCGACAGACCCCUAUGAAGGUUGUAUUGAUUGUUUGUUAUUGAUCUUUUUCCAAAAAUUCAUCUUUUCUGUUAGUUUUUCUUUCACUUGGCUUCUCCAAUAUAUAUCUCCGCUCAGUCAUUGCAAAAACUGAACUUAUUCAUGGCGGCUUUACGUCAAACUAAAAUUAAUAAAUCGUUAACAACAAACCGUUUCAGUAAACUGAACGAAUAUUUCGUGCAGUAUGUCGUUCAACAAGCGCUCAACGACCAACAAAAUAGAAUGGCUUGCUGAGAGGGUUGGUACCAGCAUCUGUCGGAAUUGAGUGAGGAAAGCGAACUGAAUUAAAGUUUUGUUUUCUUUUUCUUCGAUUUUACGUCUAAAAACUAAAUUUAGAUUUUUUUUUAGAUUUCAGAACUAUUUAUAUAAGUUCUUUUUCUAAUCCCAUGAUUUCACCCCCUCACCUUUGGAUACAAACCAACGAACGACUAAAAUUAGGUUAAAGCCGGGUAUAAAUAAACGAUAUAAUAAAAAUUCUUUCUCAAAUACUAACAUGAACUGUUAAAAAACGAAGCAACAAGAUCUAUCUUGGUUUGUAUCGUUAGCUGAAGUGCAAUCAAAUGACAAGUAACUAGGGAUGUCAAAUAAUAGGUUAAUUAAUCAAAUAGUAACCCUGAUAAUCGACUAAAAUUCAAUGGAUUAGUUUGAAAAAAUAUAUUCGAUUUUUGUAUAAUCGAAUAAUUCGGAAAAAUUCACCAAUUAACUAUUGCACAAUUAUAAAGAAUGUGAAAAUUCAAUGAAAUUCAUAAUGCGACUGUCAAUUGUGUUAAUCGAGCACUUAAAAAUCAAUCAAUGAAAUCGAACAUGAAUUAAUUACUCAGUUCGGUACUGUAUAAAUAUUCAAUUAGUAAUAUCAAUUUCGAUUUGUUCGCCUUUCGCCUUCGGUUUCAAGCAGUUCAAAUUGAGCUGCUAUCUUCGCCUAGCAGUUCAAUUUAAAACGCUAAGCAGACGCAAAGUUCACACAAUAAUUAUUUAAAUUUAAAGGAUAUUUAAAUAUUCUAUCUGAUGUCUCGGGCGAAAACGUGUGACGACCGACUACUGGCCGCCGCAAAAUUUGAACAUUUAGGGAUUUUUAUGUCUGCUUAGCGGUUCAAAUUGAACUGUUUGGCGGAGAUGGCCAAACAGAAUUGUGUUAAGCACUGAUGAACCGAAGGCGAAACGCGAAGAAAUCAAAACGAAAUAUGUACUUUUUGUACAAACCAAAACCCCUAAAUGUAGUAAUAUCAAGCUUUUGUGUUGGCCAUAUUCUUCUUCUUUGUUUAGAUCAUUACGGAAAGAUGCUGACCACAGUAACAUGACCUCACACCAGGCGGCUGCAUUUUCUCGUCACAAUGAUGUAGCGAUGCAUUUACCACCUGGUAACACAGUAAUCGCAUUAAAAAAUACUAAAAUCUAUCCAUUAUUCAAUAUUUUACCGUCGAAUUUAUGAUCAGUGUUGACUACUUUUGCUAUGAGAAAUAAAUAAAGUCAAGAGUAAGUACCAAAGUAAUGGGGUAAUAUUACAGAUUUGAGCAUUUCUUCACUUGGUUCAACAGACAAACAAGACAUAACUGUAAGAGACACGAAAAAAACGUUUUUUUUUAUUUUAUGCUUUAAGCUGACAAAAGUAUUUAUAUAGUUUUUAUUUUCUUUCUUUAUUUUUGCGUGUGGCACUAGCAAUGGUUGCUUGAUGCUACUAGACGUAGUCUUUUUUUGUUUGUAUUCGAUGAAAUGAUAAAUAUAAAUUCAAUUUCUAAUCCUUAUCUAUUCGAUCGAACAAAAUAAAUUAUGAACAAGCAGAAUGUGGCCUGUCUUUUUAGAGAACAUUUACAAGACAGGUUGAUUGAUUUUCGAUUCCUGUUGGAAAAUUGGAUCACGUUGUCAUAUUAUACAAUUAGGAUAAAAACAAAUAUUAUAUUGUAUGACUGGAACUAAGUACUACUAGUGCUAUUACAUUAAUGCGGAAUGGUACACGCACAUAACUGUUUCUUUAUUCCUCAAACUCGCAGACAAUAUGGAAUAAAAGCGUAUACGAUCGAUGGUUUCCCAACAAAGUAUGAUCCUAUGUUUGUGCAAUCUACUGAAAUGAUCUACGAAUGACACAAUUCUAUAUCUCUAUAACUUAGAUCAACCUACGCGAUAUAUCCUGUAAGUUUUUUAUUUGUUUCGUUUUCUUAGACUCUUAAAAACGUAAUAAUAGAUUCUAUGACAAAAAAAUUAUUUUCGUAUAUUAUAUCAAUAAAUAAUUCCAAAGAUGGUAUUUUGAGUGGAUUUUUUUAUAGAAUAAAAAUAGCUGAGUUUUAACAUUUUCGAAACUAUGAAUUAAAAGGGAACAGCAUGUGCGCAGUAAUCAAACACAGUGUCUCAAAAUUGCAGAAUCGAAUGAGGAAAAGUACGUAUUCAUGUCAUGCCUGCAAUAGAUUGACCGCAAAAUUCAAGUAGUAAAAAGGAAAAUUGCAUGUAAUUCGAAAAAUAAACUUAUUUUGUAAUCAUCAAA